rnacentral:rRNA from 1 species
GGGUUGUGAGGUUAAGCGACUAAGCGUACACGGUGGAUGCCCUGGCAGUCAGAGGCGAUGAAGGACGUGCUAAUCUGCGAUAAGCGUCGGUAAGGUGAUAUGAACCGUUAUAACCGGCGAUUUCCGAAUGGGGAAACCCAGUGUGAUUCGUCACACUAUCAUUAACUGAAUCCAUAGGUUAAUGAGGCGAACCGGGGGAACUGAAACAUCUAAGUACCCCGAGGAAAAGAAAUCAACCGAGAUUCCCCCAGUAGCGGCGAGCGAACGGGGAGCAGCCCAGAGCCUGAAUCAGUGUGUGUGUUAGUGGAAGCGUCUGGAAAGGCGCGCGAUACAGGGUGACAGCCCCGUACACAAAAAUGCACAUAUUGUGAGCUCGAUGAGUAGGGCGGGACACGUGGUAUCCUGUCUGAAUAUGGGGGGACCAUCCUCCAAGGCUAAAUA